AAGCUCUGCUUGGUCUUGGGCCCACGUCCGUUAGGGCGCGCCCGAAAAUCAGUGGCGGUCCGGCCGAACUUCAAGCGUGUUCGAGAAGCAACCGUGUGUUGCCCGCUUUGGAAGUCUCGCGGCUCCCGGGCCCGCCAGCGAAACCCCGUCGUCCUCGCACCGUCGACCUCGGAUCAGGUAGGGAUACCCGCUGAACUUAA
rnacentral:misc_RNA from 1 species